GAUGAGCGCUGGCGGCGUGCUUAACACAUGCAAGUCGAGCGAAGCACUUUUGCGGACUUCUUCGGAUUGAAGCAACUGUGACUGAGCGGCGGACGGGUGAGUAACGCGUGGGUAACCUGCCUCAUACAGGGGGAUAACAGUUGGAAACGGCUGCUAAUACCGCAUAAGCGCACAGUACCGCAUGGUACGGUGUGAAAAACUCCGGUGGUAUGAGAUGGACCCGCGUCUGAUUAGGUAGUUGGUGGGGUAACGGCCUACCAAGCCGACGAUCAGUAGCCGACCUGAGAGGGU
rnacentral:rRNA from 1 species